rnacentral:rRNA from 1 species
CCUGGCUCAGGACGAACGCUGGCGGCGUGCCUAAUACAUGCAAAAAAGAGCGGAUCUUCAUUAGCUUGCUUUUGAAGAUCAGCGGCGGACGGGUGAGUAACACGUGGGCAACCUGCCUGUAAGACUGGGAUAACUUCGGGAAACCGGAGCUAAUACCGGAUAAUCCUUUCCCUCACAUGAGGGAAAGCUGAAAGACGGUUUCGGCUGUCACUUACAGAUGGGCCCGCGGCGCAUUAGCUAGUUGGUGAGGUAACGGCUCACCAAGGCAACGAUGCGUAGCCGACCUGAGAGGGUGAUCGGCCACACUGGGACUGAGACACGGCCCAGACUCCUACGGGAGGCAGCAGUAGGGAAUCUUCCGCAAUGGACGAA